AAGCGAACGAGGACGCAAGAGGCGACAGUGUGCUCUUUCACCCUCUCACAUUGGGAGCAAAGGAAAGACGUGUCUCCGAAGAACAAGAAAAAAAAGAGAAAAAGAAAUCAGUCUGCGCUGCUGAAACGUGGUCAUGCACAAAGGAAGGAAGAGUCGUGUUUGCCAGGGCGUCAAGAGAAAUUCCCAUCUUGGAAGCAAUCUACUUGCCGGUAAACAAAUAAAGGAGGCUGUCACACAGAGCCAAAUUAAAGACGCGGUUCCCCCCACCAAGCUGCCUGGAGCUACACAAACCGCCACGGUCACUCGCAGGGAAGGACACGUGCAAACGACUCUCUUUUUAAUCGGUGGCAUAAAGUACGA